CCUUAACCAAGUCUUUGAGAAGCAUUGCCUCCUGAAGAUGCCACCUCCCCAGUGGGGAAUGCUGCCAUCUGAUCCAGCUGUCCCUUUCUGCAGAAGUGGAUGGAGAGGCUGUGCUGAAGGCGGCGUUUCCCGGAGGAAGCAGUGGCCCAUGGGCAGCCUCUGCUGCAGGAAGGGAGGCCAUGCCAGGCACAGUCCCAGGAGAUGAGGUUCCCAGGAAGGAUUCUCCAUUAGAUUGGCUGCAUAAAGUUUUGAAGCCCUUGGAGCUUCCUGCAGGUGUGUCUGCAGGGAGGACUUUCCCAGAUCCUUUGCUGAUCACUGCACACAAGCCCGGCUCCCAUCGCAGGGGUCCUCUGAGAGGGAAGAACAGAGCCACAGGACAGAAAGAAUCACUUGAGUCACACCACAUCCUGAAAGAAAUAGAGAAGGAACUGCUCAAAGGGCGUGGUGGGUACAUUUCCCUCAGCCUUUCCUGAGACUCAGCAGUCAGGGUUUUUUUCUGGACAUGCCAUGCCCUGCACCAUGGGAAGGGAUCCAUGGCAGCCUCGCUGCCCUGCUGCUGCUUUCAUGCCCUGCAGGGCUGUUUCCCAGCCUGGCCUGGCUGCAGCUUCUCCCCAGCCUCUGCAGGAAGGCAUUUGGUAUCAGCUGACAGGGAGUCCAAACUGCACCAUGGGCCAUGCACACCCUGAGAUCUUGUAGAAUUCUCUGGUCUCCGGGUAGAUCAGAAAUGGCAGCUGUUUGGAGAAAGGAGGGCCCUGGCCAAUCCCAAAAGUUUAUAUGAUUUCCUGGUCCUUAACCAAGUCUUUGGCAAGCAUUGCCUCCUGAAGAUGCCACCUCCCCAGUGGGGAAUGCUGCCAUCUGAUCCAGCUGUCCCUUUCUGCAGAAGUGGAUGGAGAGGC